CCUACGGGCGGCUGCAGUGAGGAAUAUUGGUCAAUGGACGAGAGUCUGAACCAGCCAAGUAGCGUGAAGGAUGACUGCCCUAGGGGUUGUAAACUUCUUUUAUAUGGGAAUAAAAUGUUCCACGUGUGGGAUUUUGUAUGUACCAUAUGAAUAAGGAUCGGCUAACUCCGUGCCAGCAACAGCGGGAAUACGGAGGAUCCGAGCGUUAGCCGGAUUUGUUGGGUUUAAAGGGAGCGUAGGUGGGUUGGUAAGGAGGUUGUGAAAGUUUGCGGGUCAACCGUAAAAUUGCAGUUGAAACUGGCAGUCUAGAGUACAGGAGGGGUGGGCGGAAUUCGUGGUGUAGCGGUGAAAUGCUUAGAUAUCACGAAGAACUCCGGUUGCGAAGGCAGCUCACUGGACUGCAACUGACACUGAGGCUCGAAAGUGUGGGUAUCAAACAGGAUUAGAUACCCCUGUAGUC
rnacentral:rRNA from 1 species